rnacentral:rRNA from 1 species
GUUAGGAAUAUUGGACAAUGGGCGAAAGCCUGAUCCAGCCAUGCCGCGUGAACGAUGAAGGCCUUCGGGUUGUAAAGUUCUUUAGCCGAUGAUUAUAAUGACUGUAGUCGGAAAAUAAGCCCCGGCUAACUUCGUGCCAGCAGCCGCGGUAAUACGAAGGGGGAGAGCGUUAUUCGGAAUCACUGGGCGUAAAGCGUGCGUAGGCGGUUUUGUAAGUUAGGAGUGAAAGCCCAGGGCUCAACCUUGGAAUUGCUCUUAAAACUGCAAUGCUCGAAUCUCGGAGAAGAUAGCGGAAUUUCCAGUGUAGCAGUGAAAUGCGUAGAUAUUGGAAGGAACACCAGUGGCGUAAGCGGCUAUCUGGACGAGUAUUGACGCUGAGGCACGAAAGCGUGGGGAUCAAACAGGAUUAGAUACCCUUGUAGUCC